ACUUGUUCUUUAAAUGGGGACUAGUAUGAAUGGCAUCACGAGGGUUAUACUGUCUCCUUUUUCCAAUCAGUGAAACUAAUCUCCCCGUGAAGAAGCGGGGAUAAAACCAUAAGACGAGAAGACCCUAUGGAGCUUUAAAUCUCCCUUUAAGCGCCGGCCUAUUUACUAAGUCACAGACCCCUUUAUAUUUACCCCCGCGCCAUGAAGAUGACUUUUAGGUUGGGGUGACCGCGGAGUACAAAAAAACCUCCACGUUGAACCAGGCUCCCAAGCCCUGAGCAAAGGACUACAACCCGAUGCACUAAAAAACUAACAUCCAUUGACCCAAUACUACUUGAUCAACGAACCAAGUUACCCUAGGGAUAACAGCGCAAUCUACUUUAAGAGUCCAUAUCGACAAGUAG
rnacentral:rRNA from 1 species